GCCUGGGUGGCUCAGUCGGUUGAGCGUCCGACUUCGGCUCACGUCAUGAGCUCGCAGUCCGUGGGUUCGAGCCCCGCGUCGGGCU
rfam:Felis catus isolate Cinnamon breed Abyssinian chromosome A3, whole genome shotgun sequence.